rnacentral:lncRNA from 1 species
AACAUUCCUUCAGCAGAGCCACACUCUUAAAGAUUAUAAAUGUUGUCUUCAAAUAAUUGAAUAUUUGAAGGUUUGCUGGCCAAUGCAGGACUGAUUAUAAGUAAUGAUGACACAUCUGUAACUUCUAAAUGGGAAGGUCUUCGAAUGGGAUUGAAAAGACAAAGUGAUGAAAAAAUAAUUGUGAUAAUACAUACUGUUCCAGGUUUUAAACACAUACAGAGGGAAAAUGAGGUGAAGACACAAGGAAAAGACAACCAUCUAUGAGCCAAGGAGAGAGGCCUUAAAAGAAAUCAACCCUGGCAUCUUGAUCUUGGACUUCAAGCCUCCAGAAUGGAGAGGACCUAGCAAAGCCGGGGUUACACAUCAAAAUGGAACAGAAGAAAGCUUAAUUUCAACUCAAGAAACUGGAGAAUUGGCCAGGCGCAGUGGUUCAUGCCUAUAAUCCCAGCACUUUGGAAGGCCAAGGGCAAAUAAGCAGAUUGAUCUCAGGAACCAGAGGUUGCAUGGAUGGCUGGUCCAAUUGAUCCGCCUGUCCUAAUGGAUCAUUGUGUAACAGGGAGGAAAAACAGGAAACUUGAUUUAGGCACCAUUUUGAUCAGAGACUGAAGUCAAAUGAUAAUGAAUGUGGGCAGGAAGGAUCCUGAAAUAUCUACUUAGCUGCAUUUCCAAUGCUAGGUCAUACAUGGCAAUACAACUUCUGCCUUGUUUGCUGGAACACUUGCAAUGGAGCACUGUUUUGGCAGAUACCUUGCAAGCAACUUAAUGAAUGAAUGGAUGAAUGAACAUCUCCAUUUUGAGGACUUUGCGCAUCAGUAGAUAAAUGGAAAAAUCAUUCCCAACACAGGGAUUGCUGGCAUUUAUGAAUCAAUUACAUUGAUUUGGCCAAUAUGAAUGAACUUGAAGAUUUUUAGUGUUAUGCCUACUCUGCCAAUUCUUGGAACAUUUGCGGAACUGAGAAUUUACUUCUUCGUUUAUUACUUCCUAACUACAUUUUAAAGACUCAUUUGUUCUAGAUUCAGAUCAUUCAACAAAACAUGGCAUGAUUUCCACAGUCUCUGACAUUCUGAUUGCAUUGCUUGAGAAAAUUCUCAGUCUGGGAAUCUCCUUAAAAUGCAGCACAGAUGAUGGCUGAAUAGGAACAGCUCCGGUCUGCAGCUCCCAGCGAGAUCAACGCAGAAGGCGGGUGAUUUCUGCAUUUCCAACUGAGGGUGUAACACUGUGACCAACGAAGAGAGUGUUUUCUAUCAGUGACUCGCAGACUUCCCUUUCACUGGAAUCCAGCUUAUUAGCUGCAUGGUUAACUUUGGAGCCAGGAAAACAUCCUGCACAUGACACUGCCAUCAAGCAGAGGAGACAUGUUUCUCGGCUUCCCCUCUCUGGGACUUAAUAGCCUCUGAAGGCUAGCCUUUACUGACUCAUGAAGCUGUGUCUGCCUGGGGUCAGUGGUGGAGACAUUGCGUUAACCCCAGCAAGCGAGCCAUCACCAGAGCUUUGCACAGGGAGACACCACAUAGAAAGGCAGAUGAGGCAACACACACACCAUCCCCAGACAGCCAUGGGUCCCCAGAGACAGGAAAAAUAUGUGUUUUCUUAAAGAAUUAGAAAAGAAAACCUUGCUUUUUCCUGUGUGGCUCAUUGGUAGGAGAUCUCAAAUUCUAACCCUUGUUUUCUCUUUUACCUCUCUGUCUGCUAAAAAGCACUCCUUAGAUCCAGUAUCUAGCAUGGUGAGCCUCCUGGAUGCAGUGCUGCAGUGGCCACUGCUGGGUCAAAAACAAACACUGGGAAAGGAGGAAAAUGAUGUUUUUCUCUCUUUCAAUAAAGCAUUUGAAAUCUCUA